UACAGAGGUCCCAAGCGUUAAUCGGAAUUACUGGGCGUAAAGGGUGCGUAGGCGGUUGUUUAAGUCUGUCGUGAAAUCCCCGGGCUCAACCUGGGAAUGGCGAUGGAUACUGGACAGCUAGAGUGUGUCAGAGGAUGGUGGAAUUCCCGGUGUAGCGGUGAAAUGCGUAGAGAUCGGGAGGAACAUCAGUGGCGAAGGCGGCCAUCUGGGACAACACUGACGCUGAAGCACGAAAGCGUGGGGAGCAAACAGG
rnacentral:rRNA from 1 species